UACGUAGGGGGCAAGCGUUGUCCGGAAUCAUUGGGCGUAAAGCGCGUGUAGGCGGUUCGAUAAGUCUGCUGUGAAAGUCCAGGGCUCAACCCUGGGAUGCCGGUGGAUACUGUCGAGCUAGAGUACGGAAGAGGCGAGUGGAAUUCCUGGUGGUAGCGGUGAAAUGCGCAGAUAUCAGGAGGAACACCGAUUGCGAAGGCAGCUCGCUGGAACGUUACUGACGCUGAGACGCGAAAGCGUGGGGAGCAAACAGG
rnacentral:rRNA from 1 species